CAGCUCUGCAACACAUUGGUUGGAUCAGAAAGCCUGCUUCUCAAAGCAUGCAAAGCAUUUCCUUCAGAAUUGGUGCAGAGAGAAGAAGAGAAAAAGAAGAGAAAGAAGGAAAGGAUGAAAGAUAAAAGGGAAAAAGAAUCCAUUUUUGAGAGGAAAUGAAUGGGAAAAAAUUUACAGAGAAGAAUUAGAAGUAACAAAAACCAGAGGAAGAAGAAAUAUUAGAGAUAGAAAG
rnacentral:misc_RNA from 1 species